rnacentral:rRNA from 1 species
UGCCAGCCGCCGCGGUAAUACGAAGGGUGCUAGCGUUGUUCGGAAUUACUGGGCGUAAAGAGUACGUAGGCGGCCUUGUAGGUUGGGUGUGAAAUCCCACAGCUCAACUGUGGAACUGCGCUCAAAACCACAAGGCUUGAGGGAAGCAGAGGUAAGCGGAACUGAUGGUGGAGCGGUGAAAUGCGUUGAUAUCAUCAGGAACACCAGUGGCGAAGGCGGCUUACUGGGCUUCUACUGACGCUGAGGUACGAAAGCUAGGGUAGCGAACGGGAUUAGAUA